GGAUGAACGCUAGCUACAGGCUUAACACAUGCAAGUCGAGGGGCAUCAGGAAGAAAGCUUGCUUUCUUUGCUGGCGACCGGCGCACGGGUGAGUAACACGUAUCCAACCUGCCCUUUACUCGGGGAUAGCCUUUCGAAAGAAAGAUUAAUACCCGAUGGCAUAAUGAUUCCGCAUGGUUUCAUUAUUAAAGGAUUCCGGUAAAGGAUGGGGAUGCGUUCCAUUAGGUUGUUGGUGAGGUAACGGCUCACCAAGCCUUCGAUGGAUAGGGGUUCUGAGAGGAAGGUCCCCCACAUUGGAACUGAGACACGGUCCAAACUCCUACGGGAGGCAGCAGUGAGGAAUAUUGGUCAAUGGGCGCUAGCCUGAACCAGCCAAGUAGCGUGAAGGAUGAAGGCUCUAUGGGUCGUAAACUUCUUUUAUAUAAGAAUAAAGUGCAGUAUGUAUACUGUUUUGUAUGUAUUAUAUGAAUAAGGAUCGGCUAACUCCGUGCCAGCAGCCGCGGUAAUACGGAGGAUCCGAGCGUUAUCCGGAUUUAUUGGGUUUAAAGGGAGCGUAGGUGGACUGGUAAGUCAGUUGUGAAAGUUUGCGGCUCAACCGUAAAAUUGCAGUUGAUACUGUCAGUCUUGAGUACAGUAGAGGUGGGCGGAAUUCGUGGUGUAGCGGUGAAAUGCUUAGAUAUCACGAAGAACUCCGAUUGCGAAGGCAGCUCACUGGACUGCAACUGACACUGAUGCUCGAAAGUGUGGGUAUCAAACAGGAUUAGAUACCCUGGUAGUCCACACAGUAAACGAUGAAUACUCGCUGUUUGCGAUAUACAGUAAGCGGCCAAGCGAAAGCAUUAAGUAUUCCACCUGGGGAGUACGCCGGCAACGGUGAAACUCAAAGGAAUUGACGGGGGCCCGCACAAGCGGAGGAACAUGUGGUUUAAUUCGAUGAUACGCGAGGAACCUUACCCGGGCUUAAAUUGCAGUGGAAUGAUGUGGAAACAUGUCAGUGAGCAAUCACCGCUGUGAAGGUGCUGCAUGGUUGUCGUCAGCUCGUGCCGUGAGGUGUCGGCUUAAGUGCCAUAACGAGCGCAACCCUUAUCUUUAGUUACUAACAGGUCAUGCUGAGGACUCUAGAGAGACUGCCGUCGUAAGAUGUGAGGAAGGUGGGGAUGACGUCAAAUCAGCACGGCCCUUACGUCCGGGGCUACACACGUGUUACAAUGGGGGGUACAGAAGGCAGCUAGCGGGUGACCGUAUGCUAAUCCCAAAAGCCUCUCUCAGUUCGGAUCGAAGUCUGCAACCCGACUUCGUGAAGCUGGAUUCGCUAGUAAUCGCGCAUCAGCCACGGCGCGGUGAAUACGUUCCCGGGCCUUGUACACACCGCCCGUCAAGCCAUGGGAGCCGGGGGUACCUGAAGUACGUAACCGCAAGGAUCGUCCUAGGGUAAAACUGGUGACUGGGGCUA
rnacentral:rRNA from 1 species